rnacentral:rRNA from 1 species
GGUGAACCUGCGGAGGGAUCAUUACCGAGUUUACAACUCCCAAACCCAAUGUGAACCAUACCAAACUGUUGCCUCGGCGGGGUCACGCCCCGGGUGCGUCGCAGCCCCGGAACCAGGCGCCCGCCGGAGGGACCAACCAAACUCUUUUCUGUAGUCCCCUCGCGGACGUUAUUUCUUACAGCUCUGAGCAAAAAUUCAAAAUGAAUCAAAACUUUCAACAACGGAUCUCUUGGUUCUGGCAUCGAUGAAGAACGCAGCGAAAUGCGAUAAGUAAUGUGAAUUGCAGAAUUCAGUGAAUCAUCGAAUCUUUGAACGCACAUUGCGCCCGCCAGUAUUCUGGCGGGCAUGCC